GACAAAAAGAUGAGCAAGCUACUACCACUAUUGUUGAUAAGGGUAAAACUUCUGUACCCGUGUCUUCACCGACUUUUGUGACUGAGCAAGACAAAGAAAUCGAUAAAUUGAUCGAUGAUCUGACGGAAAAUAAUAAGGAAGUUGGUCAGAGUACCAUUUUGAAACAAAAAAUGAGUUACAAAGUCAAAUCCCGCAAGACUGUGAGAUGACUUGAAUGAUACACCUAUAGUCCAA
rnacentral:lncRNA from 1 species